rnacentral:rRNA from 1 species
ACGGGAGGCAGCAGUGGGGAAUAUUGGACAAUGGGGGAAACCCUGAUCCAGCGACGCCGCGUGGGUGAAGAAGGCCUGCGGGUUGUAAAGCCCUUUCGGUAGGGACGAAAGCUUCCGACCUAACACGUCGGAGGGUUGACUUAACCUACAGAAGAAGCACCGGCUAACUCUGUGCCAGCAGCCGCGGUAAUACAGAGGGUGCGAGCGUUAAUCGGAAUUACUGGGCGUAAAGCGCACGUAGGCGGCUUGGUAUGUCGGGUGUGAAAUCCCCGGGCUCAACCUGGGAACUGCAUCCGAAACUGCCUUGCUCGAGUAUGGGAGAGGGAAGUGGAAUUUCCGGUGUAGCGGUGAAAUGCGUAGAUAUCGGAAGGAACAUCAGUGGCGAAGGCGACUUCCUGGACCAAUACUGACGCUCAGGUGCGAAAGCGUGGGGAGCAAACAGGAUUAGAUACCCUGGUA